UACGUAGGGGGCUAGCGUUGUCCGGAAUCAUUGGGCGUAAAGAGCGCGUAGGCGGCCAGAUAAGUCCGGUGUGAAAGUCAAAGGCUCAACCUUUGAAUGCCGCUGGAAGCUGUCUGGCUAGAGUCCGGGAGGGGCGAGUGGAAUUCCUGGUGUAGCGGUGAAAUGCGCAGAUAUCAGGAGGAACACCAAUGGCGAAGGCAGCUCGCUGGAACGGUACUGACGCUGAGGCGCGAAAGCCAGGGGAGCAAACGGG
rnacentral:rRNA from 1 species